AGACCCGAAACCCGGUGAUCUAGCCAUGGGCAGGUUGAAGGUUGGGUAACACUAACUGGAGGACCGAACCGACUAAUGUUGAAAAAUUAGCGGAUGACCUGUGGCUGGGGGUGAAAGGCCAAUCAAACCGGGAGAUAGCUGGUUCUCCCCGAAAGCUAUUUAGGUAGCGCCUCGUGAAUUCAUCUCCGGGGGUAGAGCACUGUUUCGGCUAGGGGGCCAUCCCGGCUUACCAACCCGAUGCAAACUGCGAAUACCGGAGAAUGUUAUCACGGGAGACACACGGCGGGUGCUAACGUCCGUCGUGAAGAGGGAAACAACCCAGACCGCCAGCUAAGGUCCCAAAGUCAUGGUUAAGUGGGAAACGAUGUGGGAAGGCCCAGACAGCCAGGAUGUUGGCUUAGAAGCAGCCAUCAUUUAAAGAAAGCGUAAUAGCUCACUGGUCGAGUCGGCCUGCGCGGAAGAUGUAACGGGGCUAAACCAUGCACCGAAGCUGCGGCAGCGACACUGUGUGUUGUUGGGUAGGGGAGCGUUCUGUAAGCCUGUGAAGGUGUGUCGUGAGGCAUGCUGGAG
rnacentral:rRNA from 2 species